rnacentral:misc_RNA from 1 species
AAUACAACAAAUACAACGGCAGAUCUGCAAAUAGCAAAUACCAAAACAAUUCAUACAAUAACAAUAAAGCUUGAAUGACGCUAUGAACAAAAAAAUAAAAAUAAUCAUAACUAAAAAUACAAAACCACACUGAAUGUGAAACCAAGUAGCGAUAAUAACGAAUAAUCAUCUUUUACAAAUCCGAACACAAUUAAUAAUUUCAAUAACUGAACUUGUCCAAAAAUGAUUAAAAUUCAUGCUAAACUAAGUACAUCCAUCCCAAACCCAAUUAUCAUUAUCAUAAAUACUACCUGAACACAUUAAUUUUAUAUAUUUUAAUUAAU